rnacentral:lncRNA from 1 species
AUUGAUUUCUUUAACAUGUUUUUAGUAUUGACCACCUGCCAGUGAUUGAAAUUUGGAGUUUCUUUAAGAAAGUCUUGUCUAUUAGGGACAACAGAUGUUGACGGACUCUUCAUAGAGUGUGGUAAAGAGAAAUGCUGUAUGACAUCAGAUACUAAAGUUAAUAAAGUUGGAAGACAUUUGCUCAGUUGAAUCACUUCAAUGCCUUCAACCCGUCCUCAUCCAGAGGGACAACUGAGCCAUCAGAGUGGAGCCUUAGAGGAGUCAGGAUUUCAGCUGCGGCAUCGACACACCGGAAUGACCCGGAAACUUGCUCCUAGCCGAAGUAGGACGUGA